rnacentral:rRNA from 1 species
GGGGAAUAUUGCACAAUGGGGGACACCCUGAUGCAGCCAUGCCGAGUGUGUGAAGAAGGCCUUCGGGUUGUAAAGCACUUUCAGUCAGGAGGAAGAUGGUGUAGCUAAUAUCUGCACCAAUUGACGUUACUGACAGAAGAAGCACCGGCUAACUCCGUGCCAGCAGCCGCGGUAAUACGGAGGGUGGAGCGUGAAUCGGAAUUACUGGGCGUAAAGCGUGCGCAGGCGGUUUGUUAAGCGAGAUGUGAAAGCCCCGGGCUCAACCUGGGAUGGUCAUUUCGAACUGGCAAUCUAGAGUCUCGUAGAGGGGGGUAGAAUUCCAGGUGUAGCGGUGAAAUGCGUAGAGAUCUGGAGGAAUACCGGUGGCGAAGGCGGCCCCCUGGACGAAGACUGACGCUCAGGCACGAAAGCGUGGGGAGCAAACA